CCUACGGGAGGCAGCAGUGGGGAAUAUUUCGCAAUGGGGGCAACCCUGACGAAGCAACGCCGCGUGGAGGAUGAAGGCCCUAGCGGUCGUAAACUCCUGUCUAGCGGGACGAAAGUAUUUCAGGUGAAUAAACUGGAGUAUUGACUGUACCGCUGGAGGAAGCUCCGGCCAACUCCGUG
rnacentral:rRNA from 1 species